GUCGAGCUUGGUAACGCGGGCUUGUAAUCCAAGUAGAGACGAUAAGGUGAUGGGACAUUGGGCCGAUCUCUUUGGGCCGGACUCGGUUACGGCUAUCUACUGGCCUGCCCGUUCCAAGUCGGGAGUUGAGUGUUCGGACUCGAGCGAAAGCUUGUGGUUCGGACACUCUUAGAGCGGAGGAGACUGCGUGAGGCUGGUUUCACAGAGCAGCGUCCACCUCCCGCUUUCGACGGUGGAAGGAUUACGGGCCGGUGCCUCCCAAGCCCACUAUGACCCAAUAAGCCGGCUCCAAUUGGACCAUCACUUUU
rnacentral:SRP_RNA from 2 species